GACGAACGCUGGCGGCGCGCUUAACACAUGCAAGUCGUGCGGUACCGAUGGCAAGUCUUCAUGACGAGCCUUCGGUAUAGCGGCGGACGGGUGAGUAACACGUGAGUAGCUGUCCUAGGGAGGGGGAUAACGCCUGGAAACGGGUGCUAAAACCCCAUAAGCCUCGCAAGAGGUGAAAGUGUACUUGUUACAGCCUUAGGGUGUGCUCGCGGCCUAUCAGCUAGUUGGUGAGGUAAGGGCUCACCAAGGCUAAGACGGGUAGCCGGCCUGAGAGGGUGUACGGCCACACUGGAAUUGAGAUACGGUCCAGACUCCUACGGGAGGCAGCAGUGGGGAAUUUUGGGCAAUGGGCGAAAGCCUGACCCAGCGACGCCGCGUUGGGGAUGAAGUCCUUCGGGGCGUAAACCCAUGUUGUAGGGGAAGAAGAAAGUGACGGUACCCUACGAGAAAGCCCCGGCCAACUACGUGCCAGCAGCCGCGGUAAAACGUAGGGGGCGAGCGUUGUCCGGAAUUACUGGGCGUAAAGGGCAUGCAGGCGGUGCGCCAAGUCGGGGGUGUAAAAGUUACGGCUUCAACCGUGACCUUGCAAUCGAAACUGGCGCACUGGAAGUGCGGAAG
rnacentral:rRNA from 1 species